GAAGCGAAGAACCUUACCUGGUCUUGACAUCCACAGAACUUUCCAGAGAUGGAUUGGUGCCUUCGGGAACUGUGAGACAGGUGCUGCAUGGCUGUCGUCAGCUCGUGUUGUGAAAUGUUGGGUUAAGUCCCGCAACGAGCGCAACCCUUAUCCUUUGUUGCCAGCGGUUAGGCCGGGAACUCAAAGGAGACUGCCAGUGAUAAACUGGAGGAAGGUGGGGAUGACGUCAAGUCAUCAUGGCCCUUACGACCAGGGCUACACACGUGCUACAAUGGCAUAUACAAAGAGAAGCGACCUCGCGAGAGCAAGCGGACCUCAUAAAGUAUGUCGCAGUCCGGAUUGGAGUCUGCAACUCGACUCCAUGAAGUCGGAAUCGCUAGUAAUCGUAGAUCAGAAUGCUACGGUGAAUACGUUCCCGGGUCUUGUACACACCG
rnacentral:rRNA from 1 species